GUACCCACAAUUACUUGGAUAACUGUGGUAAUUCUAGAGCUAAUACAUGCAAACAGAGCUCCGACCGGAGACGGAAGGAGUGCUUUUAUUAGAUCAAAACCAAUCGGUGGCGAGUUGGUGACUCUGAAUAACUUUACGCUGAUCGCACGGUCUCGCACCGGCGACGCAUCUUUCAAAUGUCUGCCUUAUCAACUGUCGAUGGUAGGUUCUGCGCCUACCAUGGUUGUAACGGGUAACGGGGAAUCAGGGUUCGAUUCCGGAGAGGGAGCCUGAGAAACGGCUACCACAUCCAAGGAAGGCAGCAGGCGCGCAAAUUACCCACUCCCGGCACGGGGAGGUAGUGACGAAAAAUAACGAUACGGG
rnacentral:rRNA from 2 species